UGCUCUGAUGAGAUCACUUAAUAGGAAGUGCCGUCAGAAGCGAUAACUGACGAUAAAGUUUCCCGACUGACU
ensembl:snoRNA SNORD49A small nucleolar RNA, C/D box 49A